rnacentral:rRNA from 1 species
UACGGAAGGCAGCAGUGGGGAAUAUUGCACAAUGGGCGCAAGCCUGAUGCAGCCAUGCCGCGUGUAUGAAGAAGGCCUUCGGGUUGUAAAGUACUUUCAGUCGUGAGGAAGGUGUUAAGGUUAAUAACCUUAGCAAUUGACGUUAGCGACAGAAGAAGCACCGGCUAACUCCGUGCCAGCAGCCGCGGUAAUACGGAGGGUGCGAGCGUUAAUCGGAAUUACUGGGCGUAAAGGGCACGCAGGCGGUUAAUUAAGUUGGAUGUGAAAUCCCCGGGCUUAACCUGGGAAUGGCAUUCAAGACUGGUUAGCUAGAGUCUUGUAGAGGGGGUAGAAUUCCAUGUGUAGCGGUGAAAUGCGUAGAGAUGUGGAGGAAUACCGGUGGCGAAGGCGGCCCCCUGGACAAAGGACUGACGCUCAUGUGCGAAAGCGUGGGGAGCAAAC